GAUUUCGACUGAAAAAGUCAUCAACAACAAAGUUGUAUAACUCAUCAAUAUCUAUAACUUUUAUUCUGGUCAUUUCAUCAUCCGAUAAAGUAAUAGUAACAUUGUUCACGAAAUUUACAUUUCUCUCUUAUUAUAGUUUAUAAACUAUAUAAGAGAUAUGUACAUUUUGUUAACAUUGUUACAAAUCGCUUUAUCGGAUGAAGAAAUGACCCAAAUAAAAGUUAUAGAUCUUGAUGAGUUAUACCACUUUGUUAUUGAUGUCUUUUUCAGUUGAAAUC
rnacentral:pre_miRNA from 1 species